UGGAAGCCUAGGUGUGAGGUGUACGCCUGAUGGACAUUAGGUGCAAAAGAAUCAAAAUCUGCUAGAAAGUUCAAAGUUCAGAAAGACAUUUAUAACCAAUUCAGAAUAUCAAAAUUGCAACCCAGUCUAAAUCCUUUUAUAAAUGACAUAACAACCCAAAUAUUUGUAAGAAAUUCAAAUGUUGUUAGCAUCAGAACGACCAUUGUCUAAAAAGCUUGUCACUUUUGCAGGGAUAUGCACA
rnacentral:misc_RNA from 1 species